CUCGUAGGUGGCCAACUAAGUCAGACGUGAAAUCCCUCAGCUUAACUGGGGAACUGCGUCUGAUACUGGAUGGCUUGAGAUUGGGAGAGGGAUGCGGAAUUCCAGGUGUAGCGGUGAAAUGCGUAGAUAUCUGGAGGAACACCGGUGGCGAAGGCGGCAUCCUGGACCAACACUGACACUGAGGAGCGAAAGCCAGGGGAGCAAAC
rnacentral:rRNA from 1 species